rnacentral:rRNA from 1 species
GGAGCCCUCUUCUUGAAAGGUUUCGCUAUAGGAUGAGCCCGCGUGAGAUUAGCUAGUUGGUAAGGUAAUGGCUUACCAAGGCGACGAUCUCUAGCUGGUUUGAGAGGAUGAUCAGCCACACUGGGACUGAGACACGGCCCAGACUCCUACGGGAGGCAGCAGUGGGGAAUAUUGCACAAUGAGCGAAAGCUUGAUGCAGCCAUACCGCGUGUGUGAAGAAGGCCCGAGGGUUGUAAAGCACUUUCAAUUGUGAGGAAGAUAGUAUAGUUAAUACCUGUAUUAUUUGACGUUAACUUUAGAAGAAGCACCGGCUAACUCUGUGCCAGCAGCCGCGGUAAUACAGAGGGUGCAAGCGUUAUUCGGAAUUACUGGGCGUAAAGCGCGCGUAGGCGGGCUAUUAAGUCAGUUGUGAAAGCCCUGGGCUCAACCUGGGAACUGCAUCUGAUACUGGUAGUCUAGAGUUUAAGAGAGGGAAGUGGAAUUCCAGGUGUAGCAGUGAAAUGCGUAGAUAUCUGGAGGAACAUCAGUGGCGAAGGCGACUUCCUGGCUUAAAACUGACGCUGAGGUGCGAAAGCGUGGGUAGCGAACGGGAUUAGAUACCCCGGUAGUCCACGCCGUAAACGAUGUCAACUAGUUGUUGGUCUUAUUAAAAAGAUUAGUAACGAAGCUAACGCGAUAAGUUGACCGCCUGGGGAGUACGGUCGCAAGAUUAAAACUCAAAGGAAUUGACGGGGGGGCCCGCACAA